AUUGAACGCUGGCGGAAUGCUUUACACAUGCAAGUCGAACGGCAGCACGGACUUCGGUCUGGUGGCGAGUGGCGAACGGGUGAGUACUGUAUCGGAACGUGCCCAGUCGUGGGGGAUAACGUAGUGAAAAUGACGCUAAUACCGCAUACGAUCUAUGGAUGAAAGCGGGGGAUCGCAAGACCUCGCGCGAUUGGAGCGGCCGAUAUCAGAUUAGGUAGUUGGUGGGGUAGAGGCCCACCAAGCCAACGAUCUGUAGCUGGUCUGAGAGGACGACCAGCCACACUGGAACUGAGACACGGUCCAGACUCCUACGGGAGGCAGCAGUGGGGAAUUUUGGACAAUGGGCGAAAGCCUGAUCCAGCCAUUCCGCGUGCAGGAUGAAGGCCCUCGGGUUGUAAACUGCUUUUGUACAGAACGAAAAGGUUUCUACUAAUACUAGGAGCUCAUGACGGUACUGUAAGAAUAAGCACCGGCUAACUACGUGCCAGCCGCCGCGGUAA
rnacentral:rRNA from 1 species